UUGUUUAAUGAGUUUUAAUGCUAUAGUAUUAGAACUCCUUGCUUUUUACUGGGAUAUAAAUUAUAAUUUAUAAAUAACAAAGAGUGAUAAAGCACGCCUCCCACUCUAAAAUUGCUGUGGGGAAAGAAGAAAUUAUUUUGUUCUUGGAUUUUUCCUUAUUUGAAUAUCCCGCCAAAGAGAAGAUACGAUGGUCAUAGGCGGGAACUUGAACUCGAGACUUGCGACUCAAGUUGGACUUGAGUGCAUAUCUCACAAUCAAAGACUACAAACUUGACUUGGACUCCAUUGCUAAGUCUUGCAACUCGUCUUGGAUUCCAAAGUUUAGUAUAUUGUGACUAAGGAAAGCGUUAAUUCUAGUAGGAGUAUAAUCCUUUCUACAGAUAUAUUUAAUUAUGAGUCUUAAAAGAUUUAGGAGUGUCGGUUCCAGUCCUGCAGCUUACGACACAACAUUAAUCUGAGUAGGGGAAACGUUCUUAUACUGUAUAUCCACUUCGAAUCUCAAGUCAUGUUCAAGUCCUUGAAUAUUUUCAUCGAGUCCUCAAAUGUUAUUCAGGCUCAUUUCAUUUCAUUAAUUUAAUAGUAUUUUAUAUUAUUGAUGUAAGUGAAUGUGCAUUUUAUAUCUGUAUUCAUUAUAGUCAACCCUUGUAAUUGGGUUAAAGAAGUUGAAAUCUGAGAAGAAAGGAGCUCUAUGAUAUUAAUUUGGUUUUGAAAUAUAUAUUUAUUUAAUGAUAA
rnacentral:lncRNA from 1 species